AAGUUGUUAGAAAUCCAAAGAGGCCUAUCGGCGCUUGGAUACAUUACUAUAACGAUCAAUUAGCCAUGAUGAAAGAGAAGGAUAAAGGAGUGAAGAUAAAUGAUGAUUUGAGGAAAAAAUUGGGCAAGAAGUGGAAUGCACUUUCAAAAGUAGAAAAAGAAAAUUUCAUGGCA